GCCGAGCAUGGUGGCACACGCCUGUAAUCCCAGCAGCUCGGAAGGCUGAGACUGGAGGAUCGCGAGUUUAAAAUAAGUGAGGUGCUAAGCAGCUCAGUGAGACCCUGUCUCAA
rnacentral:SRP_RNA from 1 species